UACGAGGGGGGGCGAGCGUUUGUUCGGAAUUAUUGGGCGUAAAGGGUGCGUAGGCGGUUUGGUAAGUCUUGUGUGAAAUCUCCAGGCUCAACUUGGAGUCUGCACGAGAAACUGCCGGGCUUGAGUGUGGGAGAGGUGAGUGGAAUUCCUGGUGUAGCGGUGAAAUGCGUAGAUAUCUGGAGGAACACCGGUGGCGAAGGCGGCAUCCUGGACCGGCAUUGACGCUGAGGCGCGAAAGCCAGGGGAGCAAAGCGGG
rnacentral:rRNA from 1 species